GUCCGAUCCACCCGUGCUGCAACGCGGGGUCGCGGGGGCACCUCCGCCUCCGGCUCCUGACGCGGGACGCAAGCCGCUGAGCUGUGACACGGGGUCGCCGGGGCACAUCCGCCGCCGCCGCCGGCUCCUUACGCGGGGUCACGGGGACAUCCGCCGCCGCCGUUGGCUCCUGACGCGGGGUCGCGGGGACAUCCGCCGCCGCCGCCGGCUCCUGACGCGGGACGCCCGCGACGCGGGGACGCAGGGUUGCCUGGGUCUCAUCCGCUGCCAGCUCCUGAACGGGACGUCCGCUGCUGCUCUCACUCCAGAUCGGGACGCCGGCCGCUGCACUUGCUUCUGUUUCGACCGCCAUCCCGAAUCGAGCUACCCGUCACUCCGCCGGCGACGCCACCAGCUCUUGCUGUAGAUGCUUCUGAUGAUGAUAGGGCUGCAGCCAGGGUUGCUGCUGGCGGCUGCUUCUUAUGACUAACAGGUCUUGGAUUAUUCGGAUGCUCUUUCCGUUUAUCGUGAUGAUUUGACUGCUUACACUCAGUGGUGUGAUGAUGAUGCUCGCGCUGCGGCUGUCCUCACUUCCAGUGUUCUUCCUCAGUUUGCUUCCGAGUUUAUGGGUCUCAGUACUAUCUUUGAGAUGUGGACUCAUUUUCGCUAGCGUUAUCAACCCUCUGGUGAUGCUCUCUACUUGUCUGUGGUCCGUCGGGAGCAUGCUCUUCAGCAGGGAGACUCCACUAUUGAUGAGUUCUACACUCAGAGUUUUUCUAUCUGGCGCCAGCUUGACUCUCUUCGCACUGCUGUUUGUGGCACUUGCCCAUGUUGCCAGACUAUGAGGUCAGACUUGGAGUUUCAACGCGUCUAUGAGUUCUUAUCGCGACUCCGUGGUGAGUUUGAGCCUCGACGUGCUCAAUUGUUUGCUCGUGGUCGUGUUCCUAUUUCUGAGGUGUUUUCUGAGCUUCGUGCUGAGGAGACUCGCCGACGUGGUGCCGGUUUGCUUCAGGUUCCUUCUGUGCUUGCGACUCAAGCUACUACUCCACCAGUAUCCUAUCGCUCCAGUGCUCCGCCGCUACUACCCACUCCUGGUAGUGAGGGCCACACUCGUGAGGGCCGCUCUCGUCCUCGUACUCAUUGUGGCUACUGCAACAGAGAUGGUCACCCCGAGUCUGAUUGCUUCAAGAAGAAGCGUGAUAUGCGUAAUAGGGAGCACAAUUCCUCUAUUGGGACUCGUGCUUCUUCCUCGACGUUGUCUACUGUCUCCUUGACCGAGCAAGAUAUUAUGAAGCUUAAGUGUCUGCUUGCUGCUUCAGGUACUUCGACAGGUACUACAGGCUCUGUGACUGGUGCUUCUAGUGUUGAGCGACCACCAUCUACACAGUCAGGUACAUGCCCAUGGGUUCUGGAUUCUGGAGCUUCAUUUCAUAUGUCUUUCGAUUCCUUUGUAUUGUCCUCUCUUAGAUCUCUCGAUUUCCCUAUUAAUGUUCUUACUGUUGAUGGUACUCCUCUUCCUGUUGCUAGUCGAGGCAUUCUUUCCACUUCUUCACUUCAAGUCCCAGAUGUUUCUCAUGUUCCUCGCCUUACCAUGAACUUAUUUUCUGCAAGUCAGCUUACUGAUUCUGGUUGUCGCGUCAUUCUUGACGUUGAUUCUUGCACUGUCCAGGAUCGUCACACCAAGGUCGUGGUUGGGGCUAGCCCUCGCCGCCUUGACUCUCAGGGGCUUUGGGAGUUAGACUGGCUUCAUGUUCCUUCCGCUGCCACCACACUAGCCAGUACAUCUGCCUUCGCCGCUUCAGCUACCAGCUCCUUCCAGAAGUGGCAUCAUCGACUUGGUCACCUUUGUGGCUCUCGGCUAUCGUCUUUAGUUCGUCGUGGUCUUCUGGGGCCUGUCUCAGGAGAUGUCUCUUUGUAGUGUCAGGGUUGUAGGCUUGGUAAACAAGUUCAGUUACCUUAUCCUACUAGUGAGUCAGUGUCUCAACGCCCUUUUGAUUUAGUUCAUUCCGAUGUGUGGGGACCGGCUCCCUUCGCUUCAAAAGGGGGCCAUCGAUACUAUAUUAUUUUUAUAGAUGAUUUC
rnacentral:rRNA from 1 species